rnacentral:lncRNA from 1 species
AGCUGCUCAUGGGGAAUUCAGCAGCUGCUUCAGGCCCUCCAGGGCAUUUCUUGCUGGCAUCUUCUGCCUCACCAGAUCGCCCUGAUUAUUAGUGAUCUGGGCCCCCUACCUAAUGGAAAACCAGCCACUCUUCUUCCCAGCCCCAAUGGAUAUUGAUGAGGGGUCCUUAAAUCUGGGAUCCUUUCCCCUCCUUGCCCAAUAAUUGAACUCCUAAAAUCCUUUUACUACCUGGGAAUCUGCAAAGACAACCUUGAAUUUGAACUGGAGCUAGAAGGACUUCCUCCGAACGAAUUUGCCCAUAGAUGACUCUCUGGUACAUGGUCUCUGUUGUUCAACUUUCUCUAUUCUGAAGUCUAGAAGACACCCUUGCUUCUGAAAGUGGGGCCUAAGAACCUGCAGCCUCACCAGGGAGCUUGGUAGAAAUCCAGAAUCUGAGGCAGGAUUCUAGACUUAUUGGAUCAGAUUCUGCAUUUCAACAAGAUUCCCCAGUGACCCCCAGGCAUCUUCAAAUUUGAGAGGCCAGGAAAGUGCUCAGGCCCUGCCCUUCCCUUCCCGUUGGCUGGGGAGAAUUCCUGUAAUUUGCCCUGUUUACGGGUCCUUAAUCUCCAACUUCACUGUCCUCGCUUUCCAAAGAAUCCUGAGUGGCUUCCUUCCAACACCUUAUCUGUCUUCCCCCACGCCCCUGAAGCCAGGGCCUCUUUUCUUCAAGGCCACCCCCCAACUCAUCUCAGGCUGAGGCUCCUCUCUUGAGGCCAUAUCCCAUGGUAGCAUUUCUUUGAGGGCUGCUUUUCUGCCGUUUUUCUCCCCAGGUAGGGCCUCUAAAACCGAUGGAAGUGAAGUGCUACACCUCAGAGCUGCUUUAGCCCUUAGAGCUGGCCAGGGUCUGAGUGGGCCUCUCACAGGGCCACAGGACUGCCCUUUCCCCCAGCAUGCCUAGAAGCUGAGACCACUCACACCACAUGAACAUGCUAUCCUUGUUCCUCUUUCCUGCCAGCCUCAACACAACCAGAAUACAGCCCAAUAAUGGCUGCCUACAAAUGGGAGGCACCCAGGGAAGGGAGGGGGUGCUGAUUAAGAACCAGCCUGGAGGAGGAUCAUGGUUUCUCUGAAACAAGAAGGAGGUGAGGGUUGAUGCGGAAGGUAUAUUAGAAAUGCUUCAAGCACUUGAUGCUUUGAGGGUUUGGGGAUUUGAGUUUGGGUUUGUUUUUUAAGCUUAACAAUGUGAAAAAGAUGUCAAAUAACUUUUCUGAACUGUGGCAAUCAGAGCCUUGUCCAGAAUCAUAACUUAAUGGCUUUUUGGCUCUCAAUUUGAUGGUCAGUUUGGCUAACCAACACUUUUUAAUUCUGUGUUAUUUAUUACUCAGUUGAUCCCCCCCAUAAUAUGUUAAAAGCCUACUUCCAACCUGUUAAAAUGUACCCUUGGAGUGCUGUCCAGAUUCACCAUUAAAAUAGUGUCUUUCCAGUCUUAUGUAUUUUAUUCAGCAGUUACUACAGUACUUUUUUUUUUUUUUUUGACAGGAUCUCAUUCUGUUGCCCAGGCUGGAGUCCAGUGGUGUGAUCACAGCUCACUGAAGCUUUGACCUCCUAGGCUCAAGCUAUCUUCCUGCCUCAGGCUCCUGAGUAGCUGGGACUAUAGGCACAUGCCACUAUACCUGGCUAAUUUUUAAUUUUUUGUAGAAACUGGGUCUCGCUAUGUUGCCCAGGCUGGUCUCGAACUCCUGGGUUCAAGCAUUCCUGACACUUUGGCCUCCCAAAGUGCUGGGAUUACAGGCAUGAGAUGCCAUGCCUGGCCAUAUUUUUAUUUUUAAAUCUUUCUAUUUAAAUAAGGAGAGGGAGAGAGAGAGAAAGCUCUAGGUGCAUUUUUUCCAAAUGGACACCUUGCCAUGUUUUCAACACACAUCUAAAGCCUGAAUUGAGAGUAUAAUUUUUCUGUAGAUACAUCACCUUGAGGAAUUUUAUAAACUUCAGUUUCCUCAUCUGAGAAAUGAGGUAGUUGGAUUAGAUGAACUGGCUCAUCAAGUGAGUAUAAGGAGCCUUCCAAAUUUAAGAAUUAUUAACAUUUCCCGGAAGACUAACCAGGCAAUUUUUCUUCUUUAGGUUUGACUUUCUGAGAUGUCAUGGCUUAGUAUUCUUUAAGCAAAUUCUGGAAUGUUCUUGUCCCUUUGGAAUAAUUGUAAUGUGGAUUUGUUCUGUGCAACUGAUGAUAUUCUAAUGUGUUUGGGCAGGUUUAAGUCUAAAUUUCCAAAGUCUCACACCUGUGGUUUUACCAAAAAGGUACUGCUCAAGGAAACCAGUGAUGGGCAAAGGAUGCAUGGUAUAGCUAUGAUGCAAGAGCGCCCUCUGCAGGCCAUGCGAAGAUGAGUCUCUUUCUUAAAGGGUAGCUUUUCCGCUCUUUGUGUAGAGUACAACCCUUCCCUUCCUCCUGUAGCAUUCUCAUCAAGAAACAUUUGUUUAGUGCUUACCCUGAGCUAGGCACAGUGUGCUUAGGGCUGGGAACACAAAAAUAAAAGCAUCCUAGGCUUAAAGGAUCUCACGGUCUAAUGGGGUACAUCCCAAUCAGAUCAUUAUAAUGCAACCUGAGAGGUGUGUCACUGGAGCUGUGCCUCAUGUCCCCAUUAGUUUGCAAUCACAAGUUGCACACAAGAGCCGAAAUCAAACUGUACAGUACAAUGCUUUUUUGUUAGGAGAGAAGGACUGGUGACUCACCCUAGCAUUUUCUCUUUGCACAGAAACAGAUGCCCUGCCCAGAAGCAACACGGCUAAUGGGUGCCACCGUGGAGACCCAGGCAACCUGAGAGUAGUCCUGACAGCCAGACCUCCAGGGUGGAAAUGGGAAGGUCUACAGAGAAAGUGGGAGACAUGAAACUAAACAGGAAUGAUACAUUGACAAUAAAGAACAUGAAGAGAUGGUUCCUGGACACUACAAGAAACCUGUGGUCCCAGCUACUCGAAGACUGAAGUGAGAGGAUCACUUGAGCCCAGAAGGUCGAUGCUACAGUGAGCCAUGAUCAUGCCACUAUACUCCAGCCUAGGUGACAGAGCGAGACUCCAUCUCAGAAAAAAAAAAAAAAAAAAAA